rnacentral:snoRNA from 1 species
UUCCAUAAGCAUGAUGAUUGGGUGUUCAUGCUAUUGUGUGAGAUGUGCCUCCCUCGACAUCAUCAACAUCAGCACAUUACCUGUCUGAC